AGGUCCGUUUUUGACAACGAAUUCCGAAAUGAUGUCAUGUACAUAACGACUGAAUCGAACGUCAUGUCCGGAACGAUUUUUGCCAGGAAAACUGUGAAGGAAAGUUUUCGCAUGAUGGUGGAAAGAAACGGGAAAUCAUUAAUUCCUCCAGCGUGGGCAUUUGGUCCUUGAAAUCAGCUAGAUUCUGAAGUUCCAGGCGGAACCAACCUUACAGAUCGAGCAAAAGAACUGCUGUUCGAUUUGGACAUACCUAUAUCAACCGUUAUAAACCCUGUUCAUUUCUUUCCUGCUGGUGGCGACCGAGGACCUCAGCCCGAGGUCUUGCAACAAAACGAAUAUCUAUUAUCUCUAGGGCUACCGACGACAGCUUAUUUCAACCCCAUGGUGGACCAGAGGUGGACGCAGGGUUAUGCUUACGCCGCCGGAAAGGGUUUCUUUGUGAGAAAUCAACAGGGACAGCCCUACAACUUCUCCUAUAUC